rnacentral:rRNA from 1 species
GCAGUCGAACGGCAGCACGGGAGCAAUCCUGGUGGCGAGUGGCGAACGGGUGAGUAAUAUAUCGGAACGUGCCCAGUCGUGGGGGAUAACGCAGCGAAAGCUGUGCUAAUACCGCAUACGAUCUCUGGAUGAAAGCGGGGGACUCGUAAGAGCCUCGCGCGAUUGGAGCGGCCGAUAUCAGAUUAGCUAGUUGGUGGGGUAAAGGCCCACCAAGGCGACGAUCUGUAGCUGGUCUGAGAGGACGACCAGCCACACUGGAACUGAGACACGGUCCAGACUCCUACGGGAGGCAGCAGUGGGGAAUUUUGGACAAUGGGCGCAAGCCUGAUCCAGCAAUGCCGCGUGCAGGAUGAAGGCCUUCGGGUUGUAAACUGCUUUUGUACGGAACGAAAAGGUCUGCCUUAAUACGGUGGGCCCAUGACGGUACCGUAAGAAAAAGCACCGGCUAACUACGUGCCAGCAGCCGCGGUAAUACGUAGGGUGCGAGCGUUAAUCGGAAUUACUGGGCGUAAAGCGUGCGCAGGCGGUUAUAUAAGACAGAUGUGAAAUCCCCGGGCUCAACCUGGGACCUGCAUUUGUGACUGUAUAGCUAGAGUAUGGUAGAGGGGGGAUGGAAUUCCGCGUGUAGCAGUGAAAUGCGUAGAUAUGCGGAGGAACACCGAUGGCGAAGGCAAUCCCCUGGACCUGUACUGACGCUCAUGCACGAAAGCGUGGGGAGCAAACAGGAUUAGAUACCCUGGUAGUCCACGCCCU